GUGCCAGACUCCUACGGGAGGCAGCAGUGAGGAAUAUUGGUCAAUGGGCGAGAGCCUGAACCAGCCAAGUCGCGUGAGGGAGUACUGCCCUAUGGGUUGUAAACCUCUUUUGUCGGGGAGCAAAAGCCGGACGUGUCCGUCUGUGAGAGUACCCGAAGAAAAAGCAUCGGCUAACUCCGUGCCAGCAGCCGCGGUAAUACGGAGGAUGCGAGCGUUAUCCGGAUUUAUUGGGUUUAAAGGGUGCGCAGGCGGGCUGUUAAGCCGGCGGUAAAAAUUCAGGGCUCAACCCUGUCGAGCCGUCGGAACUGGCAGUCUUGAGUGGGCGAGAAGUAUGCGGAAUGCGUGGUGUAGCGGUGAAAUGCAUAGAUAUCACGCAGAACGCCGAUUGCGAAGGCAGCAUACCGGCGCCCAACUGACGCUGAGGCACGAAAGCGUGGGGAUCGAACAGGAUUAGAUACCCCAGUA
rnacentral:rRNA from 1 species